rnacentral:sRNA from 1 species
UGCCGCCGCCCUUCCUGGGCGUUUCCUCCCUGAACUUGGCCGCUCCGCCCCCGGAGCGGCCUUUUUCUUUUGCGCC